GAUGAACGCUGGCGGCGUGGAUAAGGCAUGCAAGUCGAGCGAGAACCGGACCUUCGGGUCCGGGGAAAGCGGCGAACGGGUGAGUAACACGUGGGUAACCCACCCUUGGUACUGGGAUAGCCCGGGGAAACCCGGAUUAAUACCGGAUGGCCCAACAGCUCUUCGGGGCGGUUGGAAAAGGUAGCUUCGGCCUCCGACCAAGGACGGGCCCGCGGCGGAUUAGCUUGUUGGUGGGGUAACGGCCCACCAAGGCGACGAUCCGUAGCUGGUCUGAGAGGACGAGCAGCCACACUGGGACGGAGACACGGCCCAGACUCCUACGGGAGGCAGCAGUGGGGAAUCUUGCGCAAGGGGCGAAAGCCUGACGCAGCGACGCCGCGUGGGGGAAGAAGGCUUUCGGGUUGUAAACCCCUUUCAGGAAGGACGAAGCCACUCAGGUGAAUAGCCCAGAGGGUGACGGUACUUCCAGAAGAAGCCCCGGCUAACUACGUGCCAGCCGCCGCCGUAA
rnacentral:rRNA from 1 species